AACGAACGCUGGCGGCAGGCCUAACACAUGCAAGUCGAACGUGAAGCCACCUUCGGGUGGUGGAAAGUGGCAGACGGGUGAGUAACGCGUGGGAACGUGCCUUUCGGUUCGGGAUAACCCAGGGAAACUUGGGCUAAUACCGGAUACGCCCUUCGGGGGUAAGAUUCAUUGCCGAAAGAUCGGCCCGCGUCGGAUUAGCUAGUUGGUGGGGUAAAAGCCUACCAAAGCGACGAUCCGUAGCUGGUCUGAGAGGAUGACCAGCCACACUGGGACUGAGACACGGCCCAGACUCCUACGGGAGGCAGCAGUGGGGAAUAUUGGACAAUGGGCGCAAGCCUGAUCCAGCCAUGCCGCGUGGGUGAAGAAGGCCCUAGGGUUGUAAACCCCUUUCAGCGGGGAAGAUAAUGACGGUACCCGCAGAAGAAGCCCCGGCUAACUCCGUGCCAGCCGCCGCGGUAACAC
rnacentral:rRNA from 1 species